rnacentral:rRNA from 1 species
UACGGGGGGGGCAAAUGUUGUUCGGAAUCACUGGGCGUAAAGGGAGCGUAGGCGGGCUUCUAAGUUAGGUGUUUAAUCCCAGGGCCCAACCCUGGUCAGGCACCUAAAACUGGGAGUCUUGAAUAGUGGAGAGGACGAUGGAAUUGGGGGUGUAGCGGUGGAAUGCGUAGAGAUCCCCAAGAACACCAGUUGCGAAGGCGGUCGUCUGGACACAUAUUGACGCUGAGGCUCGAAAGCAUGGGGAGCAAACAGG